UCAUGACUUAAUUUGUAUUAACGUAUUUUGGUUUGUGUAAAGAGUAAUUCUAAGAUUGAGAGAUAAAGUCUCUCUCACCCCACAACCAUUUACUUUUCAAAAGGAAAAAAAGACUUCUAUUCUGGUUAUAUCUGAGCACAUAUUUUUCAGGUGUUUAAUUUAGUUAAGAAUGCCAUGUAUAACAAGUCGAGCAAAUGCAGAUGGAAGUCGACUUUGAAAACAACUACUUAAUUUCCACAUUUCAUAAAAAAUAUAUAGGUAGAGUGCUUAUAGCCUUAUGGUGGACUAGAACUACAGAAAUUUGGGUUUGAUGUAUUUUCAGGAACAACAAAUGGUAAUGUAUGUGCAUAGAAAAUCAAAUAUGUACAAAGAGUUGAACUGUUAGAUACUGAUAGCUGCCUCUUUUGGUGGUGUCUACACUGCCGUUAUCAUCGAAGACUGCAAAGAAAACUGAUCAUAGCAUUAUGAAUGCAUCACAUGUUGUCUCUAUGUAAAUAAUAUUCUCAUUGAUGUAAAGAAUUUGUCAUCUUCAACCAUGCAACAUCCAAGAAUGGAUAUUUUGUUUCUAUAUGGAUGUAAAUAGUUGUGACGAUCAGGCCAGCCGUCUCAUGAGUUACC